rfam:Cajanus cajan chromosome 1, whole genome shotgun sequence.
AGCCGUGUGAUAAAUACAUAGCGAACUAUUCUUUCGCCUUUUACUAAAGAAUACCGUGUGUUUGUCACUAUAAGCGGCAUAAGCCAGUUUUUGGGAAGGGUCUUCUUAGGAGGGCCU